CCUUUGCCAUGCUAUUUCAGAGGACAUUCGCGCGAUCUUACUCAGUGUACAGUCGACAAUAGGCUCGUAAUAUGCCUAUUCCCAGUCGACUUGACAUAGUUGACUGAAAAUUUCUUUCGAUAUUAAGUCAACUAACAGCCAACGGUGUGAUACAUGGGACAUGAGUGAUCGGCCUGCUCCCAAGGAACAAUAGAAUCCCUGAAUUCGUGACGUACCUACACAGAAAAGUUGCUCGGAGACAAUCGGUAAUGAUCUUCUCUACCGGGGAGUUAUACUUCAACUGAAACAACCAAAUGUAGGAUGAAGGACUGAAAAGGAUUGGUUAUUUCGUAGCCGGUACUUCCUAAUUAAGACUCGGGUGCCGCAUUGAGCUGAUAGGGAUGGGUCACGUGUGGAUGCACCGAUUACGCGGCUUUAAGAACGCUUCAAGUAACGCAUACAAACUGCAAGAUUAUUACGCAGGCAAAGCUAAGAUAGAUCAUACAUACGAUAAGGACAAAGAUUACGUUAAAUCAGAAGUAUUUGAUUUUACCGUGACUUGAACCGGGGAUCAAACGAUUGUAAAAUUCAUCUAAAAUCUGAAAUUAUUCUGGAUUACUGAAAAAUUUUCCUUCGAUAUCCAAUAAUUUCAUCAAUUUUAUUCAAAGCCAUUAUCAUUCAACGAACAUUCUUUUCAGGCGAAACUACCCACCUGGUGAUGGAUACCCGUUAUAUCGAUCACGCUGAUAAGAUCGCAUCGUAAAAGAAAAUUCAAGCACGUAAUUUUAGUUAGUCUACACGUCAUGGUCUUCCUUGGGUUGGCCAAGUGAAAGGGAGUCACCCACUCACAGCCCCUUAAUAACGGCAAAGAGGGCAUAUUUUUAAGAGGAUUGGUCUUUUUCUUCUUGCUUGUGAAACGAUCAACCUUUUUUCUAACGUUGUACGAUGUAUUUGUGAAUCUAGAAAACGGA